rnacentral:rRNA from 1 species
CACGUAGGGUGCGAGCGUUGUCCGGAAUUAUUGGGCGUAAAGAGCUCGUAGGCGGUGUGUCGCGUCGGCCGUGAAAACCUGCAGCUUAACUGUGGGCUUGCGGUCGAUACGGGCAUCACUGGAGUUCGGCAGGGGAGACUGGAAUUCCUGGUGUAGCGGUGAAAUGCGCAGAUAUCAGGAGGAACACCGGUGGCGAAGGCGGGUCUCUGGACAGCAACUGACGCUGAGGCACGAAGGCCAGGGGAGCAAACAGG